rnacentral:rRNA from 1 species
AACACAUGCAAGUCGAACGGUAACAGAAAAAGCUUGCUUUUUGCUGACGAGUGGCGAACGGGUGCGUAACGCGUAUGCAACCUACCUUUAACUGAGGAAUAGCCCAGAGAAAUUUGGAUUAAUACCUCAUAACAUCAUUAUUUCGCAUGUUAUAAUGAUUAAAGCUUUUGCGGUUAAAGAUGGGCAUGCGUGACAUUAGUUUGUUGGUGAGGUAACGGCUCACCAAGACUACGAUGUCUAGGGGUUCUGAGAGGAAGAUCCCCCACACUGGUACUGAGACACGGACCAGACUCCUACGGGAGGCAGCAGUGAGGAAUAUUGGUCAAUGGACGAAAGUCUGAACCAGCCAUGCCGCGUGAAGGAUGACGGCCCUACGGGUUGUAAACUUCUUUUGUAUAGGAAGAAACCCCUCUACGUGUAGAGGGCUGACGGUACUAUACGAAUA